rnacentral:rRNA from 1 species
UCGAGAAGCUUCCACAAUGGGGGAAACCCUGAUGGAGCGACGCCGCGUGGGUGAUGAAGGUUUUCGGAUCGUAAAACCCUUUCGGCAGGGACGAUAGUGUAAGGUAAUAAUACCACCUUACAUCAGACGGUACCUGCAUAAGAAGCUCCGGCUAACUCCGUGCCAGCAGCCGCGGUAAUACGGGGGGAGCAAGCGUUGUUCGGAUUUACUGGGUGUAAAGGGCGUCUAGGCGGGCUUGUAAGUCAGAUGUGAAAUCCUUCGGCUCAACCGAAGAACUGCAUUUGAUACUACAAGUCUUGAGUUCGGAAGAGAGAAGCGGAAUUCCUGGUGUAGCGGUGAAAUGCGUAGAUAUCAGGAAGAACACCAGUGGCGAAGGCGGCUUCUUGGUCCGAUACUGACGCUAAAGCGCGAAAGUGUGGGGAGCGAACAGG